UACAGAGGUCUCAAGCGUUGUUCGGAAUCACUGGGCGUAAAGGGUGCGCAGGCCGCGCGGGCAGUCAAAUGUGUAAUUCAGGGGCUCAACCCCCUGCACUGCGCUUGAUACUUCCGCGCUAGAACCUUGGAGAGGAGUCUGGAAUUCUCGGUGUAGCAGUGAAAUGCGUGGAUAUCGAGAAGAACACUAAGGGCGUAAGCAAGACUCUGGACAAGCGUUGACGCUCAAGCACGAAGGCUAGGGGAGCGAACGGG
rnacentral:rRNA from 1 species